GGCCGGGUGGUGUAGCGGUUAUCACAACAGCUUUACAGGUUGUUUAGCCUUCCACGUCUUGAUCAUGUGUCAGCCGAAUGGCUGCAUACGUUUUCAAAGGUCUUGGUGGAGAGGGAGGCCGCCUCCUGUCGCUGUUGGUCGCGAGUUCGUUCCUCGCCCUGGUCA
rnacentral:tRNA from 2 species